GCUGACGAGUGGCGGACGGGUGAGUAAUGUCUGGGAAACUGCCUGAUGGAGGGGGAUAACUACUGGAAACGGUAGCUAAUACCGCAUAACGUCGCAAGACCAAAGAGGGGGACCUUCGGGCCUCUUGCCAUCGGAUGUGCCCAGAUGGGAUUAGCUAGUAGGUGGGGUAACGGCUCACCUAGGCGACGAUCCCUAGCUGGUCUGAGAGGAUGACCAGCCACACUGGAACUGAGACACGGUCCAGACUCCUACGGGAGGCAGCAGUGGGGAAUAUUGCACAAUGGGCGCAAGCCUGAUGCAGCCAUGCCGCGUGUAUGAAGAAGGCCUUCGGGUUGUAAAGUACUUUCAGCGGGGAGGAAGGGAGUAAAGUUAAUACCUUUGCUCAUUGACGUUACCCGCAGAAGAAGCACCGGCUAACUCCGUGCCAGCAGCCGCGGUAAUACGGAGGGUGCAAGCGUUAAUCGGAAUUACUGGGCGUAAAGCGCACGCAGGCGGUUUGUUAAGUCAGAUGUGAAAUCCCCGGGCUCAACCUGGGAACUGCAUCUGAUACUGGC
rnacentral:rRNA from 1 species